UUUUCUCACGUUGAGGAGAGAGCUUCUCCGUCCUGUACGCAGGCGGCUUGAAUACAACACGGCUAAAGCGCCUCCCACUGGCGUUUCUCGGUACUCCUCAUGCUUCAUCAGACACCUGACCACCAUCUUCUCCCGUUUGCUUGUUUUCCGAGAGGAUUUGAAGUUUGAAACCAUGCAUACUGCAGUGCAGGGGGAUGGAUGUGUGCAGAAAAAGGAGUGAUGGCAUCGCAGGGCCAGGUCAUUUUUCAAGCUUGACUGAUUGAAAGUGGUCUGACUACUCAAGGCCGGUGUUGCCAUACAUGCAGCAGGUAGAGGCCUUUUCGGUGUUAUGAAGGACUCUUCCCUUGCUGCUCUCGUGUGUUACUCAAGUACUAGUUAGCACAAGGUGGCAGAAGAGGAGCCCCCAGCUCGACAUCAACAACAACAACAACAUCAA